UACGUAGGGUGCGAGCGUUAAUCGGAAUUACUGGGCGUAAAGCGCGCGUAGGCGGCCCGGUAAGUCCGUUGUGAAAGUCAAAGGCUCAACCUUUGAACGCCGAUGGAUACUGCCGGGCUAGAGUCCGGAAGAGGCGAGUGGAAUUCCUGGUGUAGCGGUGGAAUGCGCAGAUAUCAGGAGGAACACCAAUAGCGAAGGCAGCUCGCUGGGACGGUACUGACGCUGAGGCGCGAAAGCGUGGGGAGCGAACAGG
rnacentral:rRNA from 1 species